rnacentral:rRNA from 1 species
GUGGGGAAUAUUGGACAAUGGGCGAAAGCCUGAUCCAGCCAUGCCGCGUGUGUGAAGAAGGUCUUCGGAUUGUAAAGCACUUUAAGUUGGGAGGAAGGGUAGUAACCUAAUACGUUGCUACUUUGACGUUACCGACAGAAUAAGCACCGGCUAACUUCGUGCCAGCAGCCGCGGUAAUACGAAGGGUGCAAGCGUUAAUCGGAAUUACUGGGCGUAAAGCGCGCGUAGGUGGUUCAGUAAGUUGGAAGUGAAAUCCCCGGGCUCAACCUGGGAACUGCUUUCAAAACUGCUGAGCUAGAGUACGGUAGAGGGUGGUGGAAUUUCCUGUGUAGCGGUGAAAUGUGUAGAUAUAGGAAGGAACACCAGUGGCGAAGGCGACCACCUGGACUGAUACUGACACUGAGGUGCGAAAGCGUGGGGAGCAAACAGGAUUAGAUACCCUAGUAGUCC